GAUUGCAUAUCAAUAAGCGGAGGAAAAGAAACCAACAGGGAUUGCCUUAGUAGCGGCGAGUGAAGCGGCAAAAGCUCAAAUUUGAAAUCUGGCUCUUUCAGAGUCCGAGUUGUAAUUUGAAGAAGGUAUCUUUGGGUCUGGCUCUUGUCUAUGUUUCUUGGAACAGAACGUCACAGAGGGUGAGAAUCCCGUGCGAUGAGAUGAUCCAGGCCUAUGUAAAGUUCCUUCGAAGAGUCGAGUUGUUUGGGAAUGCAGCUCUAAGUGGGUGGUAAAUUCCAUCUAAAGCUAAAUAUUGGCGAGAGACCGAUAGCGAACAAGUACAGUGAUGGAAAGAUGAAAAGAACUUUGAAAAGAGAGUGAAAAAGUACGUGAAAUUGUUGAAAGGGAAGGGCUUGAGAUCAGACUUGGUAUUUUGUAUGUUACUUCUUCGGGGGUGGCCUCUACAGUUUAUCGGGCCAGCAUCAGUUUGGGCGGUAGGAGAAUUGCGUUGGAAUGUGGCACGGCUUCGGUUGUGUGUUAUAGCCUUCGUCGAUACUGCCAGCCUAGACUGAGGACUGCGGUUUAUACCUAGGAUGUUGGCAUAAUGAUCUUAAGUCGCCCGUCUUGAAACACGGACCAAU
rnacentral:rRNA from 1 species